rnacentral:rRNA from 1 species
CCUACGGGCUGCAGCAGUGAGGAAUAUUGGUCAAUGGCCGGAAGGCUGACCCAGCCAAGCCGCGGGCGGGAGGAAGGCGCAGAGCGUCGCAGCACUCUUUUGCCGGGGGACAACAGUCCGGACUCGUCCGGUCCUGAGGGUACCCGGAGAAAAAGCAUCGGCUAACUCCGGGCCAACAGCCGCUGUACUACGGAGGAUGCGAGCGUUCUCCGGAUUCCUUGGGUUUCAAGGGUGCGCAGUCGGGCCUUUAAGCCGGCGGUGAAAUCGCGGGGCUCAACCCCGCCGAGCCGUCGGAACUGGGGGCCUUGAGGGCGGCGGAGGCACGCGGAAUGCGCGGUGUAGCGGUGAAAUGCAUAGAUAUCGCGCAGAACCCCGAUUGCGAAGGCAGCGUGCCGUGCCGCCACUGACGCUGAGGCACGAAAGCGCGGGGAUCGAACAGGAUUAGAUACCCCUGUAGUC